CCAACAGAAGAAGAGGAAUUUAUUGUCUAGUUAUGUACAGUGCAUCCUAUUAGUGAAAAGGCGGAAGACAGUUAACGCUGAUCCAGAUGCCUUAGUGAGACAGAGCUUGUCUCCCAUUCAACUGGAGCCCCCUACUGGAAGAUGCGGAUGCAGACCGAUGGGGCCCGUCAGAAGAUGAACGCAAGGAGCCGAUUCCGCAACCAGGAAGCCUAUUAGAGAAGUGCCAUUUAUGUCUCCCUUUCUUAUUUUUUGUCUGUUUCCUGUAUCCUCCCUACGCUAACAUAACUAAAACUUAUCUUCUCCUCCCCAUCCUCUUCCUCCAUUUUACUCUUUCCUGAUCUAAUUGCUUAAAUUGUCUUCAUUUUCUUAAUCGAUUUGUUCAUCUCAUCUUCGUUUAAUGUUUGUGUUUAUGUCAAUUUCUCGAAUUAUUUGUGUUUAUUGUGUUGAGUUUUUACUAAUUUUGUUCUAGCUGUAUAUUUUCAGGUUCCCGGACGGGGGACGACGCUGGAGGACGACGCUGGAGGACGACGUUGGAGGACCAAGGCCGGCCAACAGAAGAAGAGGAAUUUAUUGUCUAGUUAUGUACAGUGCAUCCUAUUAGUGAAAAGGCGGAAGACAGUUAACGCUGAUCCAGAUGCCUUAGUGAGACAGAGCUUGUCUCCCAUUCAACUGGAGCCCCCUACUGGAAGAUGCGGAUGCAGACCGAUGGGGCCCGUCAGAAGAUGAACGCAAGGAGCCGAUUCCGCAACCAGGAAGCCUAUUAGAGAAGUGCCAUUUAUGUCUCCCUUUCUUAUUUUUUGUCUGUUUCCUGUAUCCUCCCUACGCUAACAUAACUAAAACUUAUCUUCUCCUCCCCAUCCUCUUCCUCCAUUUUACUCUUUCCUGAUCUAAUUGCUUAAAUUGUCUUCAUUUUCUUAAUCGAUUUGUUCAUCUCAUCUUCGUUUAAUGUUUGUGUUUAUGUCAAUUUCUCGAAUUAUUUGUGUUUAUUGUGUUGAGUUUUUACUAAUUUUGUUCUAGCUGUAUAUUUUCAGGUUCCCGGACGGGGGACGACGCUGGAGGACGACGCUGGAGGACGACGUUGGAGGACCAAGGCCGGCCAACAGAAGAAGAGGAAUUUAUUGUCUAGUUAUGUACAGUGCAUCCUAUUAGUGAAAAGGCGGAAGACAGUUAACGCUGAUCCAGAUGCCUUAGUGAGACAGAGCUUGUCUCCCAUUCAACUGGAGCCCCCUACUGGAAGAUGCGGAUGCAGACCGAUGGGGCCCGUCAGAAGAUGAACGCAAGGAGCCGAUUCCGCAACCAGGAAGCCUAUUAGAGAAGUGCCAUUUAUGUCUCCCUUUCUUAUUUUUUGUCUGUUUCCUGUAUCCUCCCUACGCUAACAUAACUAAAACUUAUCUUCUCCUCCCCAUCCUCUUCCUCCAUUUUACUCUUUCCUGAUCUAAUUGCUUAAAUUGUCUUCAUUUUCUUAAUCGAUUUGUUCAUCUCAUCUUCGUUUAAUGUUUGUGUUUAUGUCAAUUUCUCGAAUUAUUUGUGUUUAUUGUGUUGAGUUUUUACUAAUUUUGUUCUAGCUGUAUAUUUUCAGGUUCCCGGACGGGGGACGACGCUGGAGGACGACGCUGGAGGACGACGUUGGAGGACCAAGGCCGGCCAACAGAAGAAGAGGAAUUUAUUGUCUAGUUAUGUACAGUGCAUCCUAUUAGUGAAAAGGCGGAAGACAGUUAACGCUGAUCCAGAUGCCUUAGUGAGACAGAGCUUGUCUCCCAUUCAACUGGAGCCCCCUACUGGAAGAUGCGGAUGCAGACCGAUGGGGCCCGUCAGAAGAUGAACGCAAGGAGCCGAUUCCGCAACCAGGAAGCCUAUUAGAGAAGUGCCAUUUAUGUCUCCCUUUCUUAUUUUUUGUCUGUUUCCUGUAUCCUCCCUACGCUAACAUAACUAAAACUUAUCUUCUCCUCCCCAUCCUCUUCCUCCAUUUUACUCUUUCCUGAUCUAAUUGCUUAAAUUGUCUUCAUUUUCUUAAUCGAUUUGUUCAUCUCAUCUUCGUUUAAUGUUUGUGUUUAUGUCAAUUUCUCGAAUUAUUUGUGUUUAUUGUGUUGAGUUUUUACUAAUUUUGUUCUAGCUGUAUAUUUUCAGGUUCCCGGACGGGGGACGACGCUGGAGGACGACGCUGGAGGACGACGUUGGAGGACCAAGGCCGGCCAACAGAAGAAGAGGAAUUUAUUGUCUAGUUAUGUACAGUGCAUCCUAUUAGUGAAAAGGCGGAAGACAGUUAACGCUGAUCCAGAUGCCUUAGUGAGACAGAGCUUGUCUCCCAUUCAACUGGAGCCCCCUACUGGAAGAUGCGG